UGAGACACGGACCAGACUCCUACGGGAGGCAGCAGUGAGGAAUAUUGGUCAAUGGGCGAGAGCCUGAACCAGCCAAGUCGCGUGAGGGAGUACUGCCCUAUGGGUUGUAAACCUCUUUUGUCGGGGAGCAAAAGCCGGACGUGUCCGGCUGUGAGAGUACCCGAAGAAAAAGCAUCGGCUAACUCCGUGCCAGCAGCCGCGGUAAUACGGAGGAUGCGAGCGUUAUCCGGAUUUAUUGGGUUUAAAGGGUGCGCAGGCGGAUUUUUAAGUCAGCGGUCAAAUCGUGGGGCUCAACCCCAUCCAGCCGUUGAAACUGGGGAUCUAGAGUGUGCGAGAGGUAUGCGGAAUGCGUGGUGUAGCGGUGAAAUGCAUAGAUAUCACGCAGAACCCCGAUUGCGAAGGCAGCAUACCGGUGCACAACUGACGCUCAGGCACGAAAGCGUGGGUAUCGAACAGGAUUAGAUACCCUGGUAGUCCACGCAGUAAACGAUGAAUGCUACCUGUUUGGCCAGAUUGAUGGCUGAGCGGG
rnacentral:rRNA from 1 species